GAUGAACGCUGACGGCGUGCUUAAUACAUGCAAGUCGAGCGAAGCGUGCACGGGUGAGUAACACGUGGAUAACCCCCUAUAAGACUGGGGUAACUUCCUGAAACCGGAGCUAAACCGGAUACUUAUAGAUGGUUCUGCGCUGCAGUCGCUAGUUGGUAGGGUAACGGUUUACCAAGGCAACCAGGCAUAGCCGACCUGAGAGGCUGAUCGGCCACACUGUAACUGAGACACGGUCCAGCCGCCUACGGUAGGCAGCAGUGGGGAAUCUGGCGCAAUGGGCGAAAGCCUGACGGAGCAAUGCCGCGUGAGUGAGGGAGGUCUUCGGAUCGUAAAACUCUGUUAUCAGGGAGGCGGUACCUAAUCAGAAAGCCCCGGCUAACUACGUGCCAGCAGCCGCGGUAAUAC
rnacentral:rRNA from 1 species